rnacentral:rRNA from 1 species
UACGUAGGGUGCGAGCGUUAAUCGGAAUUACUGGGCGUAAAGCGUGCGCAGGCGGUUUUGUAAGUCAGAUGUGAUAUCCCCGGGCUUAACCUGGGAACUGCGUUUGAAACUACAAGGCUAGAGUGUGGCAGAGGGGGGUGGAAUUCCACGUGUAGCAGUGAAAUGCGUAGAGAUGUGGAGGAACACCGAUGGCGAAGGCAGCCCCCUGGGUUAACACUGACGCUCAGGCACGAAAGCGUGGGGAGCAAACAGG